rnacentral:rRNA from 1 species
GGGCCCGCACAAGCGGUGGAGUAUGUGGUUUAAUUCGAUGCAACGCGAAGAACCUUACCAGGGUUUGACAUCCUGCGAAUCUCUUGGAAACGAGAGAGUGCCUUCGGGAACGCAGUGACAGGUGGUGCAUGGCUGUCGUCAGCUCGUGUCGUGAGAUGUUGGGUUAAGUCCCGCAACGAGCGCAACCCACGUCUUUAGUUGCCAGCGAGUAAUGUCGGGAACUCUAACGAAACUGCCAGUGCAAACUGUGAGGAAGGUGGGGAUGACGUCAAAUCAUCAUGCCCCUUACAUCCUGGGCUACACACGUACUACAAUGCUACGGACAAAGGGCAGCAAGUUCGCGAGGACAAGCA